GACGAAGGUGGCGAGCGUUAUUCGGAAUCACUGGGCAUAAAGGGUCCGUAGGCGGCGCGGUCAGUCGUGGUUGAAAUCCCCCGGCUCAACCGGGGAACUGGUCACGAUACUGCCGUGCUUGAGGGUCGGAGGGGUGCGUGGAACUCAUGGUGGAGCGGUGAAAUGCGUAGAUAUCAUGGGGAACACCGGUGGCGAAGGCGACGCACUGGCCGACUUCUGACGCUGAGGGACGAAAGCCAGGGGAGCAAACGGG
rnacentral:rRNA from 1 species